rnacentral:rRNA from 1 species
UCAGCUGAGAGUUUGAUCCUGGCUCAGGAUGAACGCUGGCGGCGUGCUUAAGACAUGCAAGUCGAACGGACAUGCCAAUCGAGGCUUCGGCCAAAGUUGGAGUUACAUG